AUUGAACGCUGGCGGCGUGCUUAACACAUGCAAGUCGUGCGGUAACAGGCGUAGCAAUACGUGCUGACGAGCGGCGAACGGGUGCGUAAUACAUGGGAAUCUGCCCUUUAGUGGGGAAUAACCCGGCGAAAGCCGGGCUAAUGCCGCAUAAGAUCUUCGGAUGAAAGCGGGGGAUCGUAAGACCUCGCGCUGAUGGAUGAGCCCAUGUCGGAUUAGCAGUUGGUGAGGUAACGGCUCACCAAGGCGACGAUCCGUAGCUGGUCUGAGAGGACGGCCAGCCACACUGGGACUGAGACACGGCCCAGACUCCUACGGGAGGCAGCAGU
rnacentral:rRNA from 1 species